rnacentral:rRNA from 1 species
CGGGUGAGGUGGUGCACUGAACGGUGGAAGGGAAACCCCGGAAACCGGGGAUUGCGUCGCGCAGCAAUGUUUGGGGAAUGGUCCGCCGGGAUGGCGAGUACCAGCCCCACUCACCCCUAGCGGUGGUGGAAAGGGCGGUUGAGGGAAACCGAGACCUCACCCGGUCUGCCACUAAAUAAUAGGCUUCCAGAAGGGCGACCCCCCUAAUCUUUAUUGAUGUGCGGGUUAGGCGCGCACCUCUGGAUCGUUUACUUUGAAGAAAUUAGAGUGUUUAAAGCAGGCGCACACAGAGCAACGGGUCGUUGACCGUCAAAAGUUGGCGACCCAGCCUUGAAUACAUCAGCAUGGGAUAAUAGAAUAGGAUCUUUUUCUUAUUCUGUCGGUUUCCGAGGAAAAGGUAAUGAUCGAGAGGGGUAAUUGGGGGCAUUCAUAUUUAGUAGUCAGAGGUGAAAUUCUUGGAUUUACGAAAGAUGAACUUGUGCGAAAGCAUUUGCCAAGGGUGCUUUCUUUGAUCAAGAACGAAAGUUAGGGGAUCGAAGACGAUCAGAUACCGUCGUAG